GCUUACUGCUGAAUAAGCUCACCCUUUCUAGCUCUUUCUGUACUCUUUCUGGCUGGUUCAACUCAGAUGUUCUGGCUCAAACUCCUGUCCAAGCUGACUAAUUCAAUCUGGUUUCUCUCAGCUUCUCAGUAAAUUCCUCUGCUUGGCCUGAAACUAACUCUGGCAAUCUUCCUACUCCUUCUCAUUCUCUGGCUCAUUCUCUCUCCUCUGUCAACCUGUCUCAGUAAAACUGAUUCUCCCUACCCCCACUCUCUGCAUGUUGCUUUCUUAAGUAGCCUCUCUUUCCUGUUCGUUCUCUUAAGAGUUGUGUGUUUCCUUUCUCUGAUUCAUUCUGUCAACUUUCUCUGAUUUAUCACUUUGUCUGCCCCUCAAUUGAAUGUCAUAUUUUAGGAUUAAAUGUGGGUACUAAAGUUGUGUCUGCAUUCCAGCCAGAGGGAUGAAAGGUGUGUACUAAAGGCAUGUCUGUUUUCUAGCCUAAGGGAAUAAAGGGGUGUCAUUCCUGCUGGACCACACAGACCAAGGUUUUUGGAUGUGAUCCCUUGCCACAUCAGCCAGGUUGCUGGAAUGAAAUACUUCUACAUUAUUUCAGCUUAAUUUUGCCAUUGACUUUUGAUUUAACAUAGAGUGCUUCAAAAUUAGGAUUUUUUUAAGAUUCAUUUUCUUCUAUACUUAUGGAUGUUUGCCUAUAUGUAUGUCUGAGUAUCACAUGCAUGCUCUACUUGUGGAGACCAGAAGAGGGCAAAAGGUACCUUGGAAUUGGAGUUACAGAUUGUUGUGAGUGACUAUAUGGAUGCUGGGAACCUAAUCCAGGUCCUUUAGGAGACCAGCCAGAGCUCCUAAUCACUGAGUCUUCUCUCUACCCCUGUAAAUGAGAGGUUUUUGUUUUUGUUUUUGUUUUUUUAAUAAUUAUUAUUUACUUGGAAAGGGAACUAAGAUUCAGAGUUACAUACCUUUUUAGAUUUUAUGUAACAUUAAAAUAUGAGUACUGGUUAGCUUCCUCUGUGAUUGCUAGUAUGCUUAGAGCAUACAAUUCUCAGAGUAGAUCACUGAACCAGACCAUAAAUAUCUGUUUUUCAUAGCUAUUGCAACUGAAUCAAAUUGACCAUGCAGUUUUCAUCGAAUAUGCAAGAAACCUUGAGAGGACAAUGAAAAUAAAUAGUUCAACCACAAAAUCAUCAAAUUGGUGAUAGUAUACAGGUGCCAAUUAUUAACAUGAUCAAUAGAAAAUCAGUAUAUAAAAAAAAGCAAGGUAUAUAGGUUUGUUUAACUCUUGAUUUCAUUGCUUCCAGCUUAAUAUUUUUAUUGAGGAAUCUAUAUUUAUGUCUAACAUUUUAACUAGCUAGUUCUUCAUGAAACAAUAUCCUUCCUGAAUGGAGAUUUUUAAAAUCUAUUCCAUUAAACAUAAGUUGAUUUCCAGGUGGCAUCUACUGGGACAAACAUCAUGAAAAGACCACUGACCAGAAUGCUGAUUCCCUGGCUGACACCUGAGAGAAAAAGAAACUUAUAUUUAAUGGAGUAGACUGUCUAAAUCCCUGUUUUAAGACGAGUGCACAUUCUUGAAUAUGUAUUCAUUGCUCAAUUCAAUAGAUUCUAAUAGUGAAGGACAUCCAUAUUAGAGAAAGUAGUACCUAGCCAUUAACUUAUUACUUUCCAAAGUAAUAAACAGGAAUGCAGUGGAGUUGGAGCAUUGGCCAUAACCGGUUUGUUUCUUUAAUAUGUAAUGUACUCAGCCUGACUGCAUGAUAACCAGUGAAAUAAAAAUAUGUAUUAUCUGUGCUUUGUGUUGUUAAAAUAUAUUUAUAUUAGCUCAACUAUAAACUUAUUUAAUAAUACACUGUUAGUGAUUAUAUAUUGUUAUCUUUGGUUGGUUGGUUGGUUGGUUUACUGAAACCUGGCUUCUCAGUGUAGCUGAGGCUGGCCUAUAACUUGCUAUAUAUUUCUAGUUAGUGCUGGUCCUCUCAGUUCAGCCUUCCAUGUUCAGAGGUUAUAAGCAUGUGCCGCCAUAAUUAGCCAUACCUUCAUUGUGUGUUCUUAGGUGCAAUGUCAUAUCAGUUUACUCUUUCCACAUUUUAAAGAAGUUUUCCAUUUGUUUCUUCUUUUCAACCACAUAAUCUCUGUGCAAAAAGACUAAGCCAUGAACACAUAUGUAAGUGACUUGCCUGUUGUUUUAAACUGGAUUGAGCAGUUAUACAACAUGACAUUUAUGAUAAUUAAAUAGCAAAAGUUUUGGUAACAUAGUCACAUUAUCAAAUUCCCUUUCUUCCUGUGGAAUAUGUGCUAUACGCACCGUAAUACUGACUUCAUGGUAAUUACUGACAGAUAUACUUUGGAAGACUAUAUAGAGUUUGGAAAGAAAUGUAUUUUACAAAUUUAUAUUUCUAGCAUCUAUUCAUUUGCCAUUCUAUGUCUACUUUUUGGUGCAGAAUCUACAUAUUGAGCAGGAUAAUAAAGAUGUAUUAAACAUGAUCUCUAGAUUCUGAAUAUGACUUUUAAAAAUAUAUUCUUUAGUAUUGAAGUGACUUUUCUAUAAAAACAAAAGCCAAGAGGAUAGACAUGUUUUGACAUAUAUUACACAUGUACGCAUUAUAUGAAUAAAGUAUAAUUUUACUAUAUUCAAAUGAAUGCACACUUUGAAGAACUUCACUAAUAUGAAAGAAUAAGAGAUGCCCUAGGUGUUUUAUUAUGGUGAUUGCAAAUAACUGGUGUAAUACCUAAAUAUUUCCUCUCUUUGCAUAUAUGAGGAUUAUGAAUUUGAGUUCUGCAUGUGUAUUUAUAGUUCUGGUUAUUUAAGCUUUAUUUUUUAGACUCUCAGCACUUUAAGUGUGAUCCAUAGCAUUGAGAUUGUUUUUACCUUUUACUAUUCUACUAUUGUGAUGUUUUACAAAUCAUAUUGUUUUUAUGUAGAAAAAUACAACUUUGAUUUCACAAUAAUCCAUUUGCAAAUCAUUCAUUGGGCAACAGUGCUAGUGAAUGUACAUUUAAUGGAAACAAGUAUAGACUAUUUUGAGAUAAUGCAAUAUAAUGAAAAUUUUAAGAUCAUGCUAUAAAAGAAAUCUUGCAACAUACUCAGCCCCAAAGUUCAUGAUAUAUUCAGGUUAAG
rnacentral:lncRNA from 1 species